AACUGAUGAAAAUUCAAUCGAAUCUGAAUUUGUAAUUCUGUGCCAGUAAAAAAGAACGUCGAUAAAAUAUAAGACGCAGAUCGCAAAUUUAUCGGGAUGAAAAAAUUCACUUGAGAUUAGAAAUUCAAGAGGCUCAUACUGCAAUGUCUGCAAAAUUGAUGCGCAUGAUUGUAAAACUUGUUGACUUCAAAGUUUAACGAUAAUCUUAUCAGUAUUGCGCAAGAUUAUCUGAAGUUAAAAGCACUCUUCAAAAAUGAUUUGACGUACGAUAUCAUAUUUUUAAAAUGCCCUCAAUAAGGCUAAAUUAAUAGUAGCAUUCAUACAUGAAUUGACCGAGAGUACCGAUGCAAUAUGCCCACAUUAUUAAUGUACGACGAAAGGGAUUGGACCCUCCUGAGGUAGAAUUAAUUGAGCCACAUAACAACGUAUACUGUCCACUGGUCGUUAAUAUAACUAACUCUCGUAUAUCUUUUUAUCCAUUAUGCUACGAAUUUCAUCACAUAUGUAGAAAAAUAAAUAAUAAAUUAAUUAUAGAAAAUUCAAAA